rnacentral:rRNA from 1 species
UAAAAUAAAAUAAAAUAAUAUUUUAACAUAUUAAAAUUGAAUAAACAUAUAAAUUUUAUAAUAAUGUCAUAGAAUGGUUAGUACUGUAUAGGAAAUUUAAAUAUUAAAAAUAAGAAUUAAAUGUACCUUUUGUAUUAGGGGCUUAUAAUUAAAUUAGAUAAUUUUCUAAUAUCUCGAAAAAGAAUGAGUUUUAAUAGUUUUUAAUUUAUCUGUUGAAAUAUAUAAAUUAAUAAUAUUAAAGAUAUUAAAUGUGAUUCAAAUUCUUUAUAUCUAGUUUUAUUUAUUUUUGUUUUAGACAAAUAUUAUAUUUAUAUAAUUUUAAUAUAAAAUUUAUAAUAUUGUAUUAUUAGAGAUAAUUUUAAUAAUUAAUUUAUUAAUCUAAGAUUAAAUAUUAAAAAUUAUAGGCUUAUAAAUAGCUAUUAAAUGUAAUAAUUUAAUUAUAUUUUUAUAUUAAAUAAUUAUUUUAUAUAAAUAAAAUAAUUAUUUAAGAUUUUUUAAAAAUCUUUAAGUAUUAGUAUAAGUAUUUAAUUAAAUUGUAUGAAUUCGACAAUUUUAAAUUUCAACUGUUUAUCAAAAACAUUUUUUUUAGUUUUUAUUAAAAAUAAAUUCUGCUCAAUGAUUUUAUUAAAUUGCUAAAGUAUUUUGACUUUACAAAGGUAUUGAAAUAAGGCUUUAAUUGGGCGCUAAGAGAAUGGAUUAAUGAAGUUUAAUUUUAUGUUAUUUAAUAUUAAAAUUUCAUUUAAAAAUGAAAAAGUUUUUGUAUUUUUAUGGGACGAGAAGACCCUAUGAAUUUUAAAUUAUUUAAUAUAUUAAAAUAUAUUUUAUAUUUUAAAUAAUUUUGGUUGGGGCGACAUAAAAAGAAUUAGUAUCUUUAUUUAUGAUGAUUUUUUAAAUGUAAUUAUAAAAAUACUCUAGGGAUAACAGCGUUAUUAUUAUGGAUAGUUCAUAUUGGUAUAAUAGUUUGCGACCUCGAUGUUGAAUUAACAUACCUUAAAAAAGUAGAUGUUUUUAAAGGAAGAUUGCUCAUCUUUUAAAUUGUUACAUGAUUUGAGUUUAGACCGGCGAGAGCCAGGUUAGUUUCUAUCUAUAAUAUAAUUAAAAUUAUUUUAGUACGAAAGGAAUUUUUAAUUUUAAAAUUUAGUUUUGAUAAGACACUAAAGUUAUUAAAUUGUGAAAAUAAAAAUUAAGUAUAAAAAAUA